GUUCUAGUUCAUUUACUUUGAGAAAAUUAGAGUGUUUAAAGCAGCCUCUUGGGGCACUGAAUACAUUAGCAUGGGAUAAUAAAAUAGGAUCUUCACAAUAUAUUUUAUUGGUUUAAAUUGCGUAUGAAGAUAAUGAUUAAUAGGGACAGUUGGGGGUAUUCAUAUUGGGUGGUUAGCGGUGAAAUGCUCGGAUCCAUUCAAGAUGAACUAAAGCGAAGGCAUUUACCAAGGAUGUUUUCAUUAAUCAAGAACGAAAGUUAAGGGAUCGAAGACGAUUAGAUACCGUCGUAGUCUUAACUAUAAACUAUGCCGACCAGGGAUAUGAGAGUUAUUUAUUUAUACUAUGAACAAUAGUAUAAUCUCUUGUGGACCUUGUGAGAAAUCAUAAGUUUUUGGGUUCUGGGGGGAGUAUGGUCGCAAGGCUGAAACUUAAAGGAAUUGACGGAGGGG
rnacentral:rRNA from 1 species